rnacentral:rRNA from 1 species
GAACGCUGGCGGCGGGCUCUCCACACAUGCAAGUCGAGCGGAACGGGGGGGGUUGGCCCACCUGCAACCAGNGGCACAGGGGAGAAACAUACAUACGACCCGGCCCUNUCUGGGGGAAAACCCCUUGGAAAGCCGGAUUAUUCCCCCUUACGCCCCUCCGGGGAAAGCUGGGGAUCUUAAAGGUUUGCAUUGUUUAUUGAUGGUUUGGCGUAUUAUUUAUUUGGUGGGGGAAGAACCGNCUACCGCGACGAUCCUGACUUGGGGGGAUAAGAUGAUCAUCCCCCUCGGUGCUGAUGCACCGCCCNCCCUACUCCUGGAGGAAGCAGCGGGGAAGAAUGGAGAAUGGGGGAAAACCUGAUCACGCCAUCCCGCGUGUGUGAAGAAGGCUGUCCUAUGGGUUGUAACUUUCUUUGAGGAGGAAAAACUUACUGCUUUUACUCCUGAGGUUUCAGUUUCCUCUCAAAAAAANCCCCGUCUAUCUCCGUGCCCACCCCCGCGGUUAUACAGAGGGCGCACGCUUUCCUGAAUCUUACUGUGUAUAGGGCGCGCAUGCUUGGUCUGAUAUCUGAGAUGAAAUANCCCCGCUUAUAACCUGAGUUCGGUAGUUCACUCUGUCNCGCUAAACUAUCGUAGAUGAGUGUAAUACUUCCUGUGUAGCUGAGAAUGCAUAAUAUAUAGGAAGAGAACACCUGUGGAAGCGGCGCACUCUGGACCAAUACUGACACUGAGGUGAAAAGCUGGGGAGCGAAACAGAUUUAGAUCCCCGGUUAGUCCCCCCGUAAACGUUGACUACUA